AUCCUGGCUCAGGAUGAACGCUGGCGGCGUGCUUAACACAUGCAAGUCGAACGAUGAAGCCCAGCUUGCUGGGUGGAUUAGUGGCGAACGGGUGAGUAACACGUGAGUAACCUGCCCUUGACUCUGGGAUAAGCCUGGGAAACUGGGUCUAAUACCGGAUAGGAACGUCCACCGCAUGGUGGUUGUUGGAAAGAUUUAUCGGUCAUGGAUGGACUCGCGGCCUAUCAGCUUGUUGGUGAGGUAAUGGCUCACCAAGGCGACGACGGGUAGCCGGCCUGAGAGGGUGACCGGCCACACUGGGACUGAGACACGGCCCAGACUCCUACGGGAGGCAGCAGUGGGGAAUAUUGCACAAUGGGCGAAAGCCUGAUGCAGCGACGCCGCGUGAGGGAUGACGGCCUUCGGGUUGUAAACCUCUUUCAGUAGGGAAGAAGCGAAAGUGACG
rnacentral:rRNA from 1 species